rnacentral:rRNA from 1 species
UGAUCUGCCUGUAGGUGAGGAAUACCGGCGAGAAAUCGCUGACAAGUCCGCAUAGGAUUGGCAACAAUCAAAGCUUCUCUUCAUGAGAGGUGCCUACAGAGGAGCCCGCGUCCGAUUAGUUGGUUGGUGGGGUAAUGGCCUACCAAGACGACGAUCGGUAGCUGGUCUGAGAGGAUGAUCAGUCACACUGGGAUUGAGAACGGCCCAG